rnacentral:rRNA from 1 species
GGACCCGACUGCUAUCAGAGUGGGAAUAAGCCAUGCGAGUCAACAUAGCAAUAUGUGGCAUACGGCUCAGUAACACGUAGUCAACAUGCCCAGGGGACGUGGAUAACCCCGGGAAAAUGAGGAUAAACCGCGAUAGGUCAUCACUUUUGGAAUGGGUAAUGACUUAAACCUAUAUGGCCCCUGGAUUGGACUGCGGCCGAUCAGGCUGUUGGUGAGGUAAUGGCCCCCCAAACCUGUAACCGGUACGGGCUUUGAGAGGAGGAGCCCGGAGAUGGGCACUGAGACAAGGGCCCCGGCCCUAUGGGGCGCAGCAGGCGCGAAACCUUUGCAAUAGGGGAAAGCCUGACAGGGUUACUUUGAGUGAUUUCCGUUAAGGAGAUCUUUUGGCACCUCUAAAAAUGGUGCAGAAUAAGGGGUGGGCAAGUUUGGUGU